rnacentral:rRNA from 1 species
AACGGCCGCGGUACCCUAACCGUGCGAAGGUAGCAUAAUCACUUGUUCUUUAAAUAGGGACUCGUAUCAACGGCAUCACGAGGGCUAUACUGUCUCCUCUCUCCAAUCAGUGAAACUGACCUCCCCGUGAAGAGGCGGGGAUUAUUAUAUAAGACGAGAAGACCCCAUGGAGCUUAAAACCCAAUAUACACCUCUACGCAUGUAAACCUCUCUAGCCCAAGAAAUUUGUAUGUUGGUUUUGGGUUGGGGGGACCGCGGAGAAAAAAUUAACCUCCACGACAAAUAGGCCAACGCCUUAAUCCAUGAACUACAAUUCUAAGAAUCAAUAAACUGAUGUUUAAUGACCCAAUUAUUUGAUCAACGAACCAAGUUACCCUGGGGAUAACAGCGCAAUCUACUUCAAGAGCCCCUAUCGACAAGUUAGUUUACGACCUCGAUGUUGGAUCAGGGUAUCCUAGU